UACAGAGGGGGCAAGCGUUAUUCGGAAUUAUUGGGCGUAAAGGGCGCGUAGGCGGCUUGGCAAGUGGAAGGUGAAAUCCCUCGGCUUAACCGAGGAACUGCCCUCCAAACUGCUUUGCUUGAGGCCGGGAGAGGUGAGUGGAAUUCCCAGUGUAGCGGUGAAAUGCGUAGAGAUCCGGAGGAACACCAGAGGCGAAAGCGGCAUCCUGGCUCAGUACUGACGCUCAGACACGACAGCAUGGGGAGCGAACGGG
rnacentral:rRNA from 1 species